UCCCUGGUGUCUUAGUGGGUAAAGAAUCUGCCUGCAAUGCAGGAGACCCCUGUUCAAUUUCUGGGUCAGGAAG
rnacentral:tRNA from 1 species